rnacentral:rRNA from 1 species
GACGAACGCUGGCGGCGUGCUUAACACAUGCAAGUCGAGCGGUUAAGGCCCUUUCGGGGGUACGACGAGCGGCGAACGGGUGAGUAACACGUGGGUGACCUGCCCUCAGCUCUGGGAUAAGCCUGGGAAACCGGGUCUAAUACCGGAUAUGACUCCAUGACGCAUGUUGUGGGGUGGAAAGCCUUGUGCGGCUGAGGAUGGGCCCGCGGCCUAUCAGCUUGUUGGUGGGGUGAUGGCCUACCAAGGCGACGACGGGUAGCCGGCCUGAGAGGGCGACCGGCCACACUGGGACUGAGACACGGCCCAGACUCCUACGGGAGGCAGCAGUGGGGAAUCUUGCGCAAUGGGCGAAAGCCUGACGCAGCGACGCCGCGUGAGGGAUGACGGCCUGGU